CACACCACCCAGAGAUCACCAUAGAAAUGCUGUGCCUCACCAAAAUCUGCCAUGGGAGAAGCCUUUGCAACAGCAACAGCCAUUGCAAAGGCCCACUCACGCUUCCCUCUCCUCUCUCCUCCACUGUCGGAUCGCACAGAUCCAACGGCUCAAACGCACAGCCUUUGAGUUGCCAGAAACUUCGAAGUCCUAGCACUUAGUUUUUUGGCAAUGGUAGAGGAAGCUACGGG
rnacentral:lncRNA from 1 species